GGCCACCAAGGAGGUGCCUUUGGGGAAUGAGGACACAUUCCUGUCCCUGAGCCUGAUGACCUGAGGACCCACUCCUGGGACAAGCCUCAGGAAGAAUGAUGUCAUCGGCAAACUAUCUUGCAUCCUUAUUGAGAAGAAAGAUCCAGAAUGUGAACACUACUUGGAAACCUUAAAGAUUUAAGCAGAAGAAAGAGGAGUGCUGAGCACUGUGCCAGGGACUUUAAUGAGUAUUAAAAGGAGACUCACCGAACCUCAGAUGUUGGAACCGGGGAGAAACCCAUAGCCCAGCCAGGCUUUUGACAGGAGGACACCGGCAGCCCCUCAAAGUGGCACCGUCUGGUGGCCAUCACUGGGAUUCUGAGAGCCACCCAGCAACUCUGGGUCAAGGAAGAAAAGAUUUCUCUGAAUCUUCUUUCAAAAAAAUAAUUUACUAAAGU